rnacentral:antisense_RNA from 1 species
CCACGGGGCCGCCUGGAGAGGUGCUGGGAGCUGGGUGGAGCUUAAGAGGAAUUAAACUUUCGCCCUGCGUCUCGUCCAGCCUAGGUUCCACCCUUUUCUGGCAACCUGAGUAUCAACCUAUGCUGGAGUGCGGUGGCACCAUCUCCGCUCACUGCAACCUCUGGCUCCCAGGUUCAAGCGAUUCUCCUGCCUCAGCCCCCUGAGUAGCUGGGAUUACAGGCGCGCGCCACCACUCCCAGUUCACACCCCGCUACUCCUGAGUGCCACACACCGGCUUCCUCCCAGUCCCUCAUCUGAGAACUCAUGAAGCCACCUGGAAUCCCUUUCUGCUUUGCCUGGCUCAUUCCAUCUCAAUUUCAGAUCUUCGCUACAGGUCAGCUCCAAGGAGGAGCUCUCAAAACCUAGCUCUCAAAACCUAGCUCUUUUCCUUCAGAGCACUGGCCUCCAAUU